GACGAACGCUGGCGGCAUGCCUAACACAUGCAAGUCGAACGGAGUAAUGACCUUCGGGUGAUUACUUAGUGGCGAACGGGUGAGUAACGCGUGAGCAACCUGCCUUGGCGAGGGGGAUAACACUUGGAAACAGGUGCUAAUACCGCAUAAGACCACACUUCCGCAUGGGAGAGGGGUCAAAGGAGCAAUCCGCGCUGAGAGGGGCUCGCGUCCCAUUAGGUAGAUGGCGGGGCAACGGCCCACCAUGCCGACGAUGGGUAGCCGAGCUGAGAGGCUGAUCGGCCACACUGGAACUGAGACACGGUCCAGACUCC
rnacentral:rRNA from 1 species